AAAGGGGACACAGACCAGGG
rnacentral:misc_RNA from 1 species